GACGAACGCUGGCGGCGUGCUUAACACAUGCAAGUCGAACGAAGCUGAGCAAUCGGCUUAGUGGCGGACGGGUGAGUAACACGUGAGCAAUCUGCCCUAUACACUGGGAUAACACAGAGAAAUUUGUGCUAAUACCGGAUAAGACCACACUGCGGCAUCGCAGAGAGGUAAAAAGGUCCGCCGGUAUAGGAGGAGCUCGCGGCCCAUUAGAUAGUUGGUGAGGUAACGGCCCACCAAGUCGACGAUGGGUAGCCGACCUGAGAGGGUGAUCGGCCACAUUGGAACUGAGAUACGGUCCAAACUCCUACGGAGGCAGCAGUGGGGAAUAUUGGGCAAUGGAGGCAAC
rnacentral:rRNA from 1 species